AGGGUGUAAACGCUGCAGACUUGGUGUUGGAAGUCCUUUGGGGGCAUUCAGUGCCGGAGAGAAGUUGUUAAGUCUGCUACUUGGGGAGUACGUCCGCAAGGAUGAAACUUAAAGGAAUUGGCGGGGGAGGCACCGCAACGGGAGGAGCGUGCGGUUUAAUUGGAUUCAACACCGUAAAACUACACCAGGGAAGACUGUUACAUGAAAGCCGAGAUGAAGACUCUGCUAGAUUUUCAGAGAGGAGGUGCAUGGCGUCAGUGACU
rnacentral:rRNA from 1 species